CUGUUUCAUUUCUUUGUAGGAAAAGAAUAAUAUUAAGUGGGCUUCCAGGUGGGACUACAUUUUGGAGUCCAUGCCUCAUACAAACAUCCAGUGGUUUAGUAUAAUGAAUUCCCUCGUAAUUGUUCUCUUCUUAUCUGGCAUGGUGGCUAUGAUCUUUCUGAGGACUCUUCAUAAAGAUAUUGCAAGAUACAGCCAGAUUGACUCUUCAGAAGAUGCCCAAGAGGAAUUUGGCUGGAAGCUGGUUCAUGGAGAUGUGUUUAGACCUCCAAGGAAGGGAAUGUUACUCUCUGUCUUUUUGGGCCAAGGAACGCAAAUUUUCAUUAUGACAUUUAUUACUUUAUUCCUGGCUUGCCUUGAUUUUCUUUCCCCUGCCAACCGUGGUGCUUUGAUGACCUGUGCUGUUGUAUUGUGGGUCUUGCUGGGAACUCCAGCUGGUUACGUGUCUGCUAGAAUGUACAAGACAUUCAGAGGUGAGAAGUGGAAGACAAACGUCUUGCUUACAGCUCUACUUUGCCCUGGGUUAGUAUUGUUUCCCCUUGUGGGAAGGAGUUGGGGAAAAAAAAGUGAAUUGUUAUGAAGCUUGUUUGUGUGAUUUUGUUUAUGGUUCUCCAAACUGCUGUUCCCUUUCUGUACUGCCUAUGUGUGAAUACGAAGAAAAGAAAAUUCUGAGGAGUUGGAGCCUGGUACUCUAGAACACAGGUUCUUAGCAUCUUGUUUUGUAGUCAGCUGUGGGGGUAGGAGGAAUGAUGCAAGGUAGUGUCACAGCCUUUGAGAGUCACUGCACCAGAACAUUAGACACAGUGAUGGGGUAGUUCCAGUCUGGUACCAUAGCACUUGGUAUG